rnacentral:lncRNA from 10 species
AGGAGUUCAAGGCUGAGCUGAUCCUGUACCGGAAGAGCGGGCUCCCGUUCUGGUGUCUCCUGGAUGUGAUACCCAUAAAGAAUGAGAAAGGGGAGGUGGCUCUCUUCCUAGUCUCUCACAAGGACAUCAGCGAAACCAAGAACCGAGGGGGCCCCGACAGAUGGAAGGAGACAGGUGGUGGCCGGCGCCGAUAUGGCCGGGCACGAUCCAAAGGCUUCAAUGCCAACCGGCGGCGGAGCCGGGCCGUGCUCUACCACCUGUCCGGGCACCUGCAGAAGCAGCCCAAGGGCAAGCACAAGCUCAAUAAGGGGGUGUUUGGGGAGAAACCAAACUUGCCUGAGUACAAAGUAGCCGCCAUCCGGAAGUCGCCCUUCAUCCUGUUGCACUGUGGGGCACUGAGAGCCACCUGGGAUGGCUUCAUCCUGCUCGCCACACUCUAUGUGGCUGUCACUGUGCCCUACAGCGUGUGUGUGAGCACAGCACGGGAGCCCAGUGCCGCCCGCGGCCCGCCCAGCGUCUGUGACCUGGCCGUGGAGGUCCUCUUCAUCCUUGUUACUGUGAGAACUAAGACGAUGUAUGGGAAGGGCCGGGGACAGUGUCAACUACUGAGAAAGUGAGCAGGUGUCCAGGCAAGAGUGGCUGCCCCCCC